UACGAAGGGGGCUAGCGUUGUUCGGAUUUACUGGGAGGAAAGCGCACGUAGGCGGAUUGUUAAGUCAGGGGUGAAAUCCUGGAGCUCAACUCCAGAACUGCCUUUGAUACUGGCAAUCUAGAGUCCGGAAGAGGUGAGUGGAACUCCUAGUGUAGAGGUGGAAUUCGUAGAUAUUAGGAAGAACACCAGUGGCGAAGGCGGCUCACUGGUCCGGAACUGACGCUGAGGUGCGAAAGCGUGGGGAGCAAACAGG
rnacentral:rRNA from 1 species